CCUACGGGAGGCAGCAGUGGGGAAUAUUGGACAAUGGGGGGAACCCUGAUCCAGCGACGCCGCGUGAGUGAAGAAGUAUUUCGGUAUGUAAAGCUCUAUCAGCAGGGAAGAAAAUGACGGUACCUGACUAAGAAGCCCCGGCUAACUACGUGCCAGCAGCCGCGGUAAUACGUAGGGGGCAAGCGUUAUCCGGAUUUACUGGGUGUAAAGGGAGCGUAGACGGUGCAGCAAGUCUGAUGUGAAAGGUCGGGGCCCAACCCCGGGACUGCAUUAGAAACUGUUGAACUGGAGUACAGGAGAGGUGAGCGGAAUUCCUAGUGUAGCGGUGGAAUGCGUAGAUAUUAGGAGGAACACCAGUGGCGAAGGCGGCUUACUGGACUGUAACUGACGUUGAGGCUCGAAAGCGUGGGGAGCGAACAGGAUUAGAUACCCCUGUAGUC
rnacentral:rRNA from 1 species